rnacentral:rRNA from 1 species
UACGUAGGUGGCAAGCGUUGUCCGGAUUUACUGGGCGUAAAGAGCGCGCAGGCGGUCGUUCAAGUCGCGUGUGAAAGCCCCCGGCUCAACUGGGGAGGGUCACGCGAUACUGAUCGACUCGAAGGCAGGAGAGGGUAGUGGAAUUCCCGGUGUAGUGGUGAAAUGCGUAGAUAUCGAGAGGAACACCUGCGGCGAAGGCGGGUUGCUGGGCUGAUACUGACGCUGAGGCGCGAAAGCCAGGGGAGCGAACGGG